rnacentral:pre_miRNA from 1 species
UUUGUACUCCCUCCAUCCCAAAAUUAUUGUCUUAAAUUUGUCUAAAUACGGAUGUAUCUAGUUACAUUUUAGUGUUAGAUACAUCCGUAUCUAAACAAAUGUAAGACAAGAAUUUUGAGACGGAGGGAAUACUAC